AACGAACGCUGGCGGCAGGCCUAACACAUGCAAGUCGAGCGCACCUUCGGGUGAGCGGCGGACGGGUUAGUAACGCGUGGGAACGUGCCCUUCUCUAAGGAAUAGCCACUGGAAACGGUGAGUAAUACCUUAUACGCCCUUCGGGGGAAAGAUUUAUCGGAGAAGGAUCGGCCCGCGUCUGAUUAGAUAGUUGGUGGGGUAACGGCCUACCAAGUCUACGAUCAGUAGCUGGUUUUAGAGGAUGAUCAGCAACACUGGGACUGAGACACGGCCCAGACUCCUACGGGAGGCAGCAGUGGGGAAUCUUAGACAAUGGGGGCAACCCUGAUCUAGCCAUGCCGCGUGAGUGAUGAAGGCCUUAGGGUCGUAAAGCUCUUUCGCCUGUGAAGAUAAUGACUGUAGCAGGUAAAGAAACCCCGGCUAACUCCGU
rnacentral:rRNA from 1 species